UUAACCCCGUUAAGGGAGAUAGCCGCCUAUGGUAUGACCUAGGUGACGUGGGUG
rnacentral:rRNA from 1 species